UUUAAAAACUAUUCAUUUUGUCAGUAUUCAGAUUAUA
rnacentral:sRNA from 1 species